AUUGAACGCUGGCGGCAGGCCUAACACAUGCAAGUCGAGCGGUAGAGAGGUGCUUGCAUCUCUUGAGAGCGGCGGACGGGUGAGUAAUGCCUAGGAAUCUGCCUAGUGGUGGGGGAUAACGUUCGGAAACGGACGCUAAUACCGCAUACGUCCUACGGGAGAAAGCGGGGGAUCUUCGGACCUCGCGCCAUUAGAUGAGCCUAGGUCGGAUUAGCUAGUUGGUGAGGUAAUGGCUCACCAAGGCGACGAUCCGUAACUGGUCUGAGAGGAUGAUCAGUCACACUGGAACUGAGACACGGUCCAGACUCCUACGGGAGGCAGCAGUGGGGAAUAUUGGACAAUGGGCGAAAGCCUGAUCCAGCCAUGCCGCGUGUGUGAAGAAGGUCUUCGGAUUGUAAAGCACUUUAAGUUAGGGAGGAAGGGUAGGUAACCUAAUACGUUGCUACUUUGACGUUACCGACAGAAUAAGACACCGGCUAACUUCGUAG
rnacentral:rRNA from 1 species